rnacentral:rRNA from 1 species
AAUGAACGCUGGCGGCGUGCCUAAGACAUGCAAGUCGCACGAGAAAGUAGCAAUACGAGUAGAGUGGCGCACGGGUGAGUAAUACCUGGGCAACGCGCCUCUUCGCUGGGGAUAACCAGGCGAAAGCUUGGCUAAUACCGAAUAGUCCAUCAAUUUCUUCGGAUUUUGCUGGUAAAGCCGUAAGGCGCGAAGAGAGUGGCCCAAGUCCCAUUAGCUAGUUGGUAAGGUAACGGCUUACCAAGGCGACGAUGGGUAGCUGGUCUGAGAGGACGAUCAGCCACACUGGAACUGGAACACGGUCCAGACUCCUACGGGAGGCAGCAGUUAGGAAUUUUGCGCAAUGGGGGGAAACCCCGACGCAGCAACGCCGCGUGGAGGAUGAAGGCUUUCGGUUGU